AGUGAACGCUGGCGGCGUGCUUAAUACAUGCAAGUCGAACGAUGAAGUCCUAGCUUGCUCGGAUGGAUUAGUGGCGCACGGGUGAGUAAUAUAUAGUUAAUCUGCCUUGCACUGAGGAACAACAGUUGGAAACGAUUGCUAAUACCUCAUACUCCAACUUUACAUAAGUUAAGUUGGGAAAGUCUUUUCGGUGCAAGAUGAGACUAUAUCGUAUCAGCUAGUUGGUAAGGUAAUGGCUUACCAAGGCUUUGACGCGUAACUGGUCUGAGAGGAUGAUCAGUCACAUUGGAACUGAGACACGGUCCAAACUCCUACGGGAGGCAGCAGUAAGGAAUAUUGUGCAAUGGGGGAAACCCUGACGCAGCAACGCCGCGUGGAGGAUGACACUUUUCGGAGCGUAAACUCCUUUUGUUAGGGAAGAAUAAUGACGGUACCUAACGAAUAAGCACCGGCUAACUCCGUG
rnacentral:rRNA from 1 species